GCAAGUCGACGAUGAACCUCCUUCGGGAGGGGAUUAGUGGCGAACGGGUGAGUAACACGUGGGCAAUCUGCCCUUCACUCUGGGACAAGCCCUGGAAACGGGGUCUAAUACCGGAUAACACUGCGGAUCGCAUGGUCUGCGGUUGAAAGCUCCGGCGGUGAAGGAUGAGCCCGCGGCCUAUCAGCUUGUUGGUGGGGUGAUGGCCUACCAAGGCGACGACGGGUAGCCGGCCUGAGAGGGCGACCGGCCACACUGGGACUGAGACACGGCCCAGACUCCUACGGGAGGCAGCAGUGGGGAAUAUUGCACAAUGGGCGAAAGCCUGAUGCAGCGACGCCGCGUGAGGGAUGACGGCCUUCGGGUUGUAAACCUCUUUCAGCAGGGAAGAAGCGAAAGUGACGGUACCUGCAGAAGAAGCGCCGGCUAACUACGUGCCAGCAGCCGCGGUAAU
rnacentral:rRNA from 1 species